AAGUCGUAACAAGGUAACCGUAGGUGAACCUGCGGUUGGAUCAUUAUAAAAUAAUGAUGGUGGUACAGCUUGUUAAGGAGGACAUUCGGCCUCCUGUCUUGCGCGUUUAAGCCUCUACACCUCUGUGCACUGUAAUAGUAUCGGGUCUAGGUAACGCAGUCCCUAGGGAUAGCGAAGCUUAGGCCCAAAAACGGUUUCGACCGUAUAAACAACUUUUAAUUUUGACUGACUUUUGUUUCUAACGAAUCAAAAACAACUUUUAACAACGGAUCUCUUGGCUCAC
rnacentral:misc_RNA from 1 species